UGAAGACGUGACGCCAGUUGCGUUGGAGCCGUCCUUGAAAUACCACCCUUGUAUGUUUGAUGUUCUAACUUAGACCCGUUAUCCGGGUUGAGGACAGUGCCUGGUGGGUAGUUUGACUGGGGCGGUCUCCUCCCAAAGAGUAACGGAGGAGCACGAAGGUGGGCUAAUCACGGUUGGACAUCGUGAGGUUAGUGCAAUGGCAUAAGCCCGCUUAACUGCGAGAAUGACGGUUCGAGCAGGUGCGAAAGCAGGUCAUAGUGAUCCGGUGGUUCUGUAUGGAAGGGCCAUCGCUCAACGGAUAAAAGGUACUCCGGGGAUAACAGGCUGAUACCGCCCAAGAGUUCAUAUCGACGGCGGUGUUUGGCACCUCGAUGUCGGCUCAUCACAUCCUGGGGCUGAAGUCGGUCCCAAGGGUAUGGCUGUUCGCCAUUUAAAGUGGUACGCGAGCUGGGUUUAGAACGUCGUGAGACAGUUCGGUCCCUAUCUGCCGUGGGCGUUGGAAGAUUGAAGGGGGCUGCUCCUAGUACGAGAGGACCGGAGUGGACGAACCUCUGGUGUUCGGGUUGUGUCGCCAGACGCAUUGCCCGGUAGCUAAGUUCGGAAUUGAUAAGCGCUGAAAGCAUCUAAGCGCGAAGCGAGCCCUGAGAUGAGUCUUCCCUGAUACUUUAAGUAUCCUAAAGGGUUGUUCGAGACUAGAACGUUGAUAGGCAGGGUGUGUAAGCGUUGUGAGGCGUUGAGCUAACCUGUACUAAUUGCCCGUGAGGCUUAACCAUACAACACCCAAGGGGUUUUGUA
rnacentral:rRNA from 1 species